rnacentral:rRNA from 1 species
AUUGAACGCUGGCGGCAUGCUUUACACAUGCAAGUCGAACGGCAGCGCGGGCUUCGGCCUGGCGGCGAGUGGCGAACGGGUGAGUAAUACAUCGGAACGUGCCCAGUAGUGGGGGAUAGCUCGGCGAAAGCCGGAUUAAUACCGCAUACGACCUGAGGGUGAAAGCGGGGGAUCUUCGGACCUCGCGCUAUUGGAGCGGCCGAUGGCAGAUUAGCUAGUUGGUGGGGUAAAGGCCUACCAAGGCGACGAUCUGUAGCUGGUCUGAGAGGACGACCAGCCACACUGGGACUGAGACACGGCCCAGACUCCUGCGGAAGGCAGCAGUGGGGAAUUUUGGACAAUGGGCGAAAGCCUGAUCCAGCAAUGCCGCGUGUGUGAUGAAGGCCUUCGGGUUGUAAAGCACUUUUGGCGGGAACGAAAAGGACUGUGCCAAUACCACGGUUCGAUGACGGUACCCGCAGAAUAAGCACCGGCUAACUACGUG